AUGUUUGCUGAUCUUUGCUAUUUUUCUGUGAGAUCAGUCCAGGUAUGCAGCAGCAGAUCUGGACAUAGGAUUUAUGGCUAGGGGGAGUGGGGUGGGGGAGGUGUAUAGAUAUAAUUAUACCUACCCCUUUUAUAUUUUUGAUAAUUCUUUUUUCUGAUUUCAUGGAGCGUAUAGAUUAAGUGGGUUAUUCUAUCAAGCUAGGAAAUAUAAUAGCCAGAGACUUGUGAUGUUUGACGAAGGUAUCAUUAAUGAAGAUGUUCCAAGAAAGUAGAAACCACGUUAUGAUAGAAUCUUUAAAGAUAGAUGUUUUUGCCAAUUUAUAAAAAUGGAUCAAAACUUUUUGAGCCUGUCCAUGGAAAAGUAGG
rnacentral:lncRNA from 1 species